GACGAACGCUGGCGGCGUGCUUAACACAUGCAAGUCGAACGGGGAGUGCAGCAAUGUACUCCAAGUGGCGAACGGGUGAGUAACGCGUAGACAACCUGCCUUCUAGAUGGGGACAACACCGCGAAAGUGGUGCUAAUACCGAAUGUGGUGGCGACGGCUCCUGCCGAUGCCACUAAAGGUGGCCUCUAUUUAUAAGCUACCGCUAGAAGAGGGGUCUGCGUCUGAUUAGCUAGUAGGCGGGGUAAAAGCCCACCUAGGCGACGAUCAGUAGCCGGUCUGAGAGGAUGGAACGGCCACACUGGGACUGAGACACGGCCCAGACUCCUACGGGAGGCAG
rnacentral:rRNA from 1 species